UACAGAGGUGGCAAGCGUUGUUCGGAAUUACUGGGCGUAAAGGGCGCGUAGGCGGUCCCGUCAGUCCCUUGUGAAAUCCCCCGGCUCAACUGGGGAACUGCAAGGGAUACAGCGGGGCUUGAGUUCGGGAGAGGGAAGCGGAAUUCCGGGUGUAGCGGUGAAAUGCGUAGAUAUCCGGAGGAACACCGGUGGCGUAGGCGGCUUCCUGGACCGAUACUGACGCUGAGGCGCGAAAGCUAGGGGAGCAAACGGG
rnacentral:rRNA from 1 species